UGGUAACUUGCUGGGUUCCUUUUCCGGCAGUGUGGAAGCUUUGGUCUUUUGCUCUUUGCACUAAAUCUUGCUGCUGCUCAUUCCGGUCUUUGGGUCAGUACUGCCUUUAUGAGCUGUAAGACUUACUGCCAAGGUCUGCAGCUUCACUUCUGAGCUAGCGAGACCAUGAACCCACCAGAAGGAAGAAACUCGGAACACAUCCAAACAUCAGAAGGAACAAACUCCAGACUCACUGCCUAGGCUGAGCGAGCUGGCUCUGACCCACCAGAUGUGCCAGGCCCUGAGCUGGACCCUGGUGUCCAGAAGUGGACACAGCCCCUGUGGGGCUCCAGCCUGUGGGGUUGGGGGGUGACGAGGGACUCCUUCAAGAACGGAUGCAGUGCCUGGCAGGGCUGCAGGCUGCUGCCCACAGAGGGGCCUUUGCAGCCGUCCCUGCUGAAGUUGCCUGGGCACACCAGAGUGUGGGAGAGUGGACGGCGCGGCCCCCUCUGCAGAAGCACCCCCUCCUGCACCUGGAGCUGCUCUCAGAUCUUGGGCUGUGACCCCUGUGGGUGACACGAAGUUCAGUGAUUGUCCUCCUCUGGACUGAGGGACACCCAUCCACAUGCGCCCCCUCCGCAGCCCGAUCCCAUCACGUCCUGCUCAUCCAACACGGGCCUUAGAUCCUGGGGUCUCUGCUGAGUGCCUCCCCUCUGAACGCCCGGCUGGCACUUUCACGGUGAAGCCAGCUGUCAUGGACACCGACAGCAGGUGGCCUUUCUGCGUUGUCUACCGACUGAUCUUGAAAGUGAAAACGGACAUUGUCUGCCCUGUGGUGACCGUGUGGGUGAUGGUCCCUGGGGUCAGGCCCUGCAUGCACCUUCACCCAGGGAUGGCUUCUUAGCUGACAGCGGCUCUGCCAGGAACCACGAUCACCCUCCAGUUUGCUCUUUGUGCUGAAUUUUAUUGACAUGAAAUUCGCAUGACGUCAACUUUAUCGUUUAUAAAGUGAAUGGUUAAACGGAAUGCGGCACUUUCACAGGGCGGCAUGACCCCCACCUCUGUCUGCCUUCAGAACAUUUUCAUCCCCCACAAAAGGAGGAUGCGCAGUCCCCAGGAACAGUUACUCCUCAUUUCCCCUCCCCAGCUCUGGCUUCGGCAACCAUGAAUCUGCUUUCUGUCUCCGUGAAUUUGCCUCUUUCGGAUAUUUCACGUAAAUGGAGUCCCGUGAUAGAUGAGCUGUGUCUGCCUCUUGCAGGCAGCACAGUGUCUGGAAGGUUCUCCGUGCAGCCGCAGGGGUUGGCGCUUCCUUCUCCCGAGGCUGACCCGGCCUUGUCGUACGGGGAGUCCACUGUGUGUCUGUCUUUUGGCUGCUGUGAGCCUGGGUGUGCCGCCUGCUCCAGCCCAUGUUUUCAGCUCUUUCAGGUGUGGAGGGAGGAGUGGAAUUGUGGGAUCAUAUUGUAACUUUAACUUUGGGAGGAUCUGCCAAAUUACCCCUCUAAUUUGUUUUCAAUUUUAUUCUUAUUUCCCCGUCACUUGUUCUUUCUUUUGACUGGUUAAAAAAAAAAAAUGGCAAAGGUCUUCAGAAAAACAAGAAGUGAGUUUCAAUUGAACCGUGAAUUAAAUGAUACAUUCAAAAUCUGACCAGUAAUACAUUUUAAUUUUCCCCAGACAUUUAUGUCCACAUGUUAAUUUCAUGGAAAUCAAGAUGCUUUUGCCUCUGUUCUAAAGUAUUUAUUUUUUUAAGACAGGUUCUUACUCUGUUGCCUAGGUUGGAGUGCAAUGGCGAGAUCUCAGCUCACUGCAGUCUCGACCUCCCAGGCUCAAGCAAUCCUCCCGCCUCAGCCUCCUGAGUAGCUGGGACCACAGGUGUGCACCACCAUGCCUGGCUAAUUUGUUACAUUUUUAGUAGAGAUGGGGUUUCACCAUGUUGGCCAGGCUGGUCUGGAACUCCUGACCUGAAGCAAUCCUCCCACCUCAGCCUCCCACAGUGCUGGGAUUACAGGCGUGAGCCACCACAUGCAGCCUGAAAGUAUUUUUUAGAGUUUCCUAAAAGUUUCAUCAUCCCUUUUGUUUUCCUAACAAGCUGUGAAACCCAGUGGGUUUUAAUUGUGAAUCAGCACCAAAACACAUGCAGAUUUAAUUUUUAAUUGAAAUGAUGGCCAAUAAACAGAAUUAAUAACUCAAA